GUCGCCUCCAAUGGAUUCACGUAAAGAUUGCUGUCCGCUUCCUCGGUCAGAUCGCCCUGCGGAAGCGAAGGAAUCGUCCCGCGACCGAGCAUUCAAACUUCGCGACGCAACUCCGUCGCGAAAAGUCACGAACGUCCCGGUGAAAUCGAAACGCGCCAGGCAGCAACGAACCACCGACUCGGAGAUUUCAUCAAGGAGAGUCAGUCGGUCCCAGCGGAGAGCGCGCUCAUCCCGCAGACAACGCGUGGUACUGGUUUUUCGCGAAGCGGCAGUCUGACAACAAGAAAUAAAGAAGCCACAUAGAAGGAUCGUGCACUCUACACAGUCGUUCCCGAAGCGCUUUUCCGAGAUGCCAGAGCCGGACCUACCAGAUGCAGGAGGUGGACACGCGACCUCUAAAAAUCGCUCUUGGAUCCUUUAAGUCUACUACUGUGCGCUGGCCGCAUAUUUCCGUGCUCUACCGUUCGGUCUAAGGCAUGCUUCGAGUUGUUGGUGAGUGAUAGGAUGUAAGUUACGCGAGACUUAUCGUACUACUCGUUCCAUCAUACACAAUAUGCAAUAUGUGCCGUCCGAUAGGUGUGUAUUCAUGUGUCGCGUAUGUAUACGUGUUCGUGCGCGCGCGCGCGCGUGCGUGUGCGUGAAUAAUCAGGAAAGGAAUUACCUUGAAACCCUCGAUCUUGCCUUUCGUCCUUCGUACGCGCUAUCGUAUG